rnacentral:misc_RNA from 1 species
AAAUGCGUUAAGUAAUGUGAAUUGCAGAAUUCAGUGAAUCAUCGAAUCUUUGAACGCACAUUGCGCUCCUUGGUAUUCCUUGGAGCAUGCCUGUUUGAGUAUCAUGAAAUCUUCAAAGUAAAUCUUUUGUUAACUCAAUUGGUUUCUACUUUGGUAUUGGAGGUCUUUGCAGCUUCACACCUGCUCCUCUUUGUUCAUUAGCUGGAUCUCAGUGUUAUGCUUGGUUCCACUCGGCGUGAUAAGUUAUCUAUCGCUGAGGACACUGUAAAAGGUGGCCAAGGUAAAUGCAGAUGAACCGCUUCUAAUAGUCCAUUGACUUGGACAAUACUUUUAUGAUCUGAUCUCAAAUCAGGUAGGACUACCCGCUGAACUUAAGC